GUCUCGUUGGUGUAGUUGGUUAUCACGUUCGCUUUACACGCGAAAGGUCGGCGGUUCGAUCCCGUCAUGAGACA
rnacentral:tRNA from 1 species